UGGGUAAUUUUGCACAAUGGGGGAAACCCUGAUGCAGCGACGCCGCGUGAUUUAGAAGGUUUUCGUGUUGUAAAACUCUUUUCUAUGGGAAGAAAAUGACAGUACCAUAGGAAUAAGGACCGGCUAAUUACGUGCCAGCAGCCGCGGUAAUACGUAAGGUCCGAGCGUUGUCCGGAAUCAUUGGGCGUAAAGGGUACGUAGGCGGGUAAGGAAGUUAGAAGUGAAAUCCUAUAGCUCAACUAUAGGAAGCUUUUACAACUGCUCAUCUUGAGGUAUGGAAGAGAGAGUGGAAUUACUAGUGGAGCGGUGGAAUACGCAGAUGUUAGGGGGAAUACCGGUGGCGAAGACGGCUUUCUGGUCAUAACCUGACGCUGCGGAGCGGAGGCAUGGGGAGGAGAAAGG
rnacentral:rRNA from 1 species